rnacentral:rRNA from 1 species
UACGUAGGGUGCAAGCGUUGUCCGGAAUUAUUGGGCGUAAAGAGCUCGUAGGCGGUCUGUCGCGUCGGCUGUGAAAACCCGGAGCUCAACUCCGGGCCUGCAGUCGAUACGGGCAAACUGGAGUGUUGCAGGGGAGACUGGAAUUCCUGGUGUAGCGGUGAAAUGCGCAGAUAUCAGGAGGAACACCGGUGGCGAAGGCGGGUCUCUGGGCCGAUACUGACGCUGAGACGCGAAAGCGUGGGGAGCAAACAGG